CAAAUAUCAUAUUUUUAUAUAAAAAAUAGUGAAUAAAUUAAACAAAACAAGCAUGUAAAUGAAAAAGAAAGAGAAGGAAAAGAGUAUUUUAUUUUAUUUUAUUUUGAGUUUUAAAAGGGUGAGUUGCUUCUUGAAUGCGGAUUACUUUGGCUACUUUCGUCUCUAUUCUCUACUGUAUGAGGGGGGAGAAGGAAAUUUUCGAUGCUUGAACUGUUGCCUCUGAUAUUUACAAAUUUCAGUUGUGAGAAUUUAGGCCUACGUUACGAUUUGAAUUUUAGAAAAAUCAUAUCCCAUUCAGAAGAAUAAUUAUAAUAUGAAAAUAAUUUGUUAUUUUAGAGAUGAAACAACUAGUUGAUAGGCGGAAUUCUUGCUUUUUAGUAAUUCACCUUGGCAGGUACCAAACGUGUUUUAUGGAAGAACGGAUCCUGUCUCCGGAAGGGAAAAGGAAUCACAAUUUUGCGUGGAAUUUCUGCAGCAGAUUCUUUGUGGUGUAGCAUAUUGUCGUUCUGAUAAACUUCUCCAACGGGAUUUGACACCAAGUAAUGUGCUAAUUGAUUGAGGGAAGAAGAUAGUGAAGCUUGCGGACUUUGGAUUGGUCAGGACAGUUGCAGUUCCCGCAAAAGACUCUGUAUUGUUGAAGUAUGACUUCGCUUUUUACUCUUGUACCCGGCCAAUGGACCGGCGGUUCAGGGCCAGCCCAGGGGAUAACAGAAACCGG
rnacentral:misc_RNA from 1 species